AUUGAACGCUGGCGGCGUGCUUAACACAUGCAAGUCGAUCGGUAACAGGUGUAGCAAUACAUGCUGACGAGAGGCGGACGGGUGAGUAAUGCUUGGGAAUCUGCCUAUUAGUGGGGGACAACCCGGGGAAACUCGGGCUAAUACCGCAUACGCUCUACGGAGGAAAGCCGGGGACCGCAAGGCCUGGCGCUAAUAGAUGAGCCCAAGUCGGAUUAGCUAGUUGGUAGGGAACGGCCUACCAAGGCGACAAUCCGUAGCUGGUCUGAGAGGACGACCAGCCACACCGGAACUGAGACACGGUCCGGACUCCUACGGGAGGCAGCAGUGGGGAAUAUUGGACAAUGGGGGCAACCCUGAUCCAGCGACGCCGCGUGGGUGAAGAAGGCCUGCGGGUUGUAAAGCCCUUUCGGUGGGGAGGAAAAGUCUCGACCUAAUACGUCGGGACCUUGACGUAACCCACUAAAGAAGCACCGGCUAACUCUGUGCCAGCCGCCGCA
rnacentral:rRNA from 1 species